rfam:Pan troglodytes isolate Yerkes chimp pedigree #C0471 (Clint) chromosome 9, whole genome shotgun sequence.
AUCCUUUUGUGGUUCAUAAGCGUGAUGAUUGGGUUUCCAUGUUCACGUUAGAUAUGCCUCCCUCAAACCUUGUUACAAUGACAUGGGCACCUUACCUAUCUGACA